rnacentral:rRNA from 1 species
AAGGCAUCCACUUUGGACGCCUCCCUAGUAAUGUGUUGUUUUAUACUUCCGGACCGAAGCGCCGGGGCAUGAAAUAUUUUUUUCACCCAUGUCUUUUGCGCACUUGUUGUUUCCUGGGCGGGUUCGCCCGCCACCAGGACCAAACCAUAAACCUUUUUUUUAUGCAGUUGCAAUCAGCGUCAGUAAAAACAAUGUAAUUAUUACAACUUUCAACAACGGAUCUCUUGGUUCUGGCAUCGAUGAAGAACGCAGCGAAAUGCGAUACGUAGUGUGAAUUGCAGAAUUCAGUGAAUCAUCGAAUCUUUGAACGCACAUUGCGCCCUUUGGUAUUCCAAAGGGCAUGCCUGUUCGAGCGUCAUUUGUACCUUCAAGCUUUGCUUGGUGUUGGGCGUUUUUUGUCUCCCUCUUUCUGGGAGACUCGCCUUAAAACGAUUGGCAGCCGGCCUACUGGUUUCGGAGCGCAGCACAUAUUUUGCGCUUUGUAUCAGGAGAAAAGGACGGUAAUCCAUCAAGACUCUACAUUUUUAACUUUUGACCUCGGAUCAGGUAGGGAUACCCGCUGAACUUAAGCAUAUCAAUUAAGCGGAGGAA